rnacentral:lncRNA from 1 species
CUGACCUCGGGAUCUACCUGCUUCGGCCUCCCAAAGUGCUGGGAUUACAGGUGUGAGCCACUGCGCCCGGCCAAAAUCCACUGUGUUUUAUACUUAGAGUACAUCCUAGUUCAUGCAAAUAGUGUUUCCACUGGUCAGAAACCAGCGAUGCACAUGUGGUUGGUGGCCACUGUCUAGAUAAAACACUUAAGUAGUCAGUGGUUCACUUCUAGAUAUGGAAACAAAUAAUGAGAGUAUCUUUGUUCUCAGCAUCUAUACCUAGCAUAGUACCUGACAUAUGCAGUAGAUAGCCAAUAAAUACUUGUUAAGUGAAGAAUAUCU